UGCCCCUCAGCUGCCUGAGUCUCAUAAUACAGUGGUUCUGCUCAUCAGAGUACCCCCCCCCCUCCACCUCAAGUUUUUAAACUUGAGGUGGUGGUGGGGGGCAAGUAAUUGUGAGAUAAAAAAUGAGCUUUGAUUCCCCAUCGGCCUACAGAUGGAGACUUUCCGGCUUCUGGAUCUCCACUCCCUCAAGUACCCUAACAUUCCAGUCCCGAGACACUGGGGGUCGGGGGUGUCCCCAGGGUGUAAUGGCCCCAGUUCAGGUGUGCCAGGCCCAGUUUCCAGGCAGGCUGCAGGGGCGCAGGCCCUCCGGGAAGGGCAGGGUUAAGAGUGCAUUCCAGCUGCCGGGAGAGAAGGGGGGCGAGGGGAGGGAGCGCGAAGAAGAGAAACAGACCGGGUCUGUCUGUCGGAGACACAAAGCACGAGCCCAGCCCCGCGCUCUCCCCGACGCCACUGCCUCGUGCGGACCCCGCCCGCCAGCCCUCUGAGGAGCGUUCCGGCCGGGGUCAGGCCAAGGCAAUGGAGUACCUGGAGUAGGAGAAAGAAGCGCAGGAGGAGGGACGCGAGAGGCCCACCACGGAGCCCCAUGGCUGGAGAAAGAGGGGUGAAAAGCUGCCGCAACAGCGGACUAGUGCUCCGCUAAGCUCAGCGUGAGCCGUCGAGAACCGCGGCCCGCGGGAGCCGGAGGGAGGGGGCCAGGUGAGCGCAGCCUUCGCAGCAGGGGAAGAAAAAGGUCUCUAUGCCUUGCGGCUAGAGUGGAAAAAAGAAGUGGAGAUGCAUCUGAACCCGGCUGGAAACAGAGGCGCCGCGUUCAUGCUUCCUUGAGGCGCUCUGUUACCCUAAGCUUUGAUGGAGGCCGGGUGUGUCCGCCCCACACCCGGCGACAGCGGGGGCGCGCGGGGGG